AGCGUAGGUGGCCUAACAUGUCAACUGUGAAAACCCGGAGCUCAACUCCGGACUUGCAGUUGAAACUGGUAGGCUUGAGGACGGUAGAGGAAGACGGAACUGCCAGUGUAGGGGUAAAAUCCUUAGAUAUUGGCAGGAACGCCGGUGACGAGGGUGGUUUUCUGGGCCGGUUCUGACACUGAUGCUCGAAAGCCAGGGGAGCGAACGG
rnacentral:rRNA from 1 species